GACACUCGCGCUCCUGCAGACUGUUGUUUAGACGAAACUGAUAAAUUUAUCUCAAUUCAUCGUAAAAUAAUACUUUUAUUAAACAUUAGUUCACAUGUUAACGCGUCUUUGAGCUUUAACAACUCACCGACCGAGCGGUAAGAGAGAAACCUUCAUCAACGUGUGUGAAUGAAGACAGUUUGAACAUCUGAUUCACAUUGAACACACACGAUUAGAGCUGAUAAUGUUCACAGAUAUGGACUAUGAGCUGCAGGAGGACAAACUGUGAAGAAAGAGGAAUAAGGUGGCAAAUAAAGAGGGAACAACUCCAAGUGUAACAGCUGAACUCUACUGACAUACUAUUGCAACAGUGAAGCCAUGAGUGAUCUAAAACCAUGUAGAAUAAAAAUUGAAGAUACUGAGGAACAAAGAGACCUGAUGGAAGUGAAAGAGGAAAGUCAAGAACUAAAUGACAUAGAUCAGAAACACCAUCAGCAUCCUAAAUCUAAUAAUUCAACAACUGAUGAAGAGGCUAUUAUUUGCUUCAAGAGUGAAAAAAAAAUAUCUCAAAAAACAGGAGCCAAAUAUUCUUUCACAUGCACUCAGUGUGGAAAGAGUUUCUCAAUAAAGAAAAUCCUUCAGGGUCACAUGAUAAUUCACACUGGAGAGAAGCCGUUCACCUGCCCUCAGUGUGGAAAGCGUUUCGCAAGAAAAGGAGAUCUAAAGGUUCAUCUGAGAAUUCACACUGGAGAGAAACCUUUCACAUGCAAUCAGUGUGGAAAGAGUUUCUCAAUAAAGAAAAUCCUUCAGGAUCACAUGAUAAUUCACACUGGAGAGAAGCCGUUCACAUGCCCUCAGUGUGGAAAGAGUUUCAUAAGAAAGGGUGAUCUAAAGGUUCAUCUGAGAAUUCACACUGGAAAGAGGCCUUUCACAUGCGAUCAGUGUGGAAAGAGUUUCUCAUUAAAGAAAAUCCUUCAGGAUCACAUGAUAAUUCACACUGGAGAGAAGCCGUUCACAUGCCCUCAGUGUGGAAAGAGUUUCGCAAGAAAAGGAGAUCUAAAGGUUCAUCUGAGAAUUCACGCUGAAGGGAAGCCUUUCUCAUGCACUCAGUGUGGAAAGAGUUUCACACAAGAAGAAAACCUGAAGAUUCAUCUGACAUUUCACGAUGUGGAUCAGCUUUUCACAUGCCCUCAGUGUGGAAAGAGUUUUACACAAAAAAGAAGCAUUAAGGAACACGUGAGAAUUCACACUGGAGUGAAGCCUUUUACAUGCACUCAGUGUGGAAAGCGUUUCGCAAGAAAAGGAGAUCUAAAAGUUCAUCUGAGAAUUCACACUGGAGAGAGGCCUUUCACAUGCAAUCACUGUGGAAAGAGUUUCUCAAUAAAGAAAAUCCUUCAGGAUCACAUGAUAAUUCACACUGGAGAGAAGCCGUUCACAUGCCCUCAGUGUGGAAAGAGUUUCAUAAGAAAAGGAGAUCUAAAGGUUCAUCUGAGAAUUCACACUGGAGAGAGGCCUUUCACAUGCAAUCAGUGUGGAAAGAGUUUCUCAAUAAAGAAAAUCCUUCAGGAUCACAUGAUAAUUCACACUGGAGAGAGGGCGUUCACAUGCCCUCAGUGUGGAAAGAGUUUCGCAAGAAAAGGAGAUCUAAAGGUUCAUCUGAGAAUUCACACUGAAGGGAAGCCUUUCUCAUGCACUCAGUGUGGAAAGAGUUUCACACAAGAAGAAAACCUAAAGAUUCAUCUGACAUUUCACGAUGUGGAUCAGCUUUUCACAUGCCCUCAGUGUGGAAAGAGUUUUACACAAAAAAGAAGCAUUAAGGAACACAUGAGAAUUCACACUGGAGUGAAGCCUUUUACAUGCACUCAGUGUGGAAAGGGUUUCACAAAUAAAGGAGGUCUAAAGAGGCACCUGAGAAUUCACACUGGCGAGAAGCCUUACACAUGCACUCAGUGUGGAAGGAGUUUCACAAAUAUAGCAGAUCGGAACAGGCACAUGAGAAUUCACACUGGAGAGAAGCCUUUCACAUGCCCUCAGUGUGGAAAGAGUUUAACAAACAAAGGAGAGCUAAAGAGGCAUCUGAUAAUUCAUACUGAAGAGAAGCCUCUCAAAUGCCCUCAGUGUGGAAAGAUCUUCACAAAAAAAGCUAAUCUAAAGAGACACCUGAGAAUUCACACUGGAGAGAAGCCUUUCACAUGCCCUCAGUGUGGAAAGUGUUUCACUCAAGCAGCACACCUUAAGAAACACAUGAGAAUUCACACUGGAGAGAAGCUUUUCAUCUGCAUUCAGUGUGGAAACAGUUUCACAGUGAAGAAAACCCUUCAGGAUCUCAUGAAUAUCCAUACUGAAGAGAAACCUUACAAGUGUUCACAUUGUGAAAAGUGUUUCAUGAUAUCAGGAAAUCUAAAUCACAAAGAUGAAAAUACAGAAACGACAUUAUAACUGGCAAUAGCAGCUCAAAUGGAGAUUGCACCAGUUUGAUUUUACAGCUCAGAGCCCAGACUAGUGUAAUCAAACCAGUUUGAUCAUGCGUGAGUUUUCACUAGCCAAAAUCCCACACCCAUCAAAAAGUAAUAAAGGUGCUGGAGACUGUUACUGUAUGCAUUUUUGAAUGAGAAAGAUAGUUUAGCAGGACACAAGACAUUGUCCAUACUUCAUGGAAGUCUAGAAUUUAAACACAUUAAUUCUGUAUUGUACUUGCCUUUAUGAAAGUUUAUCUUUGUUCUUCCGUUGUUUAAGAGUGGCAUUUGUAAUAAUAAUGCCAGAACCACUGGUAGGACCAUGGACAGCUCUAUAUUUCCUUGGUUAUAGUCUUUCUAAAAAAAUAAACUGUAGUAUUUUUUUAUUGAAAAUACAAAUAGCCUAAAAACUGUUUAGAUAUUAGAUUAAAUGCAAGAACACUGCUUUUUGCAUGUUUUGUUUUUCUUUUUUUGCUUUUACAAGUGCUGUAUAAUGUGUAUUUAUUCUGAAUUAUGUACUAGAAAACUUUGCUAUAGUAAAAUGUACUAUGUUUAUUUUCCUGAUAUGUAACCUUACAAAUAUUCCUUAUAAGUUUGAUGUAGUGUACCUUGUUUGAAAUGUUUAUAAUGUAGUCCAUUUGAAUUUUCAGAAGAUGGCCUCAGUGUAUUAGGCUACGUCUACAUUAAUCCGGAUACAUUUGAAAACAGUGCUUUAGAUUCAAAACGCUCUCCGUCCACACUAGCAUUUUCAAGCGUUUUCCAAAAGUUGCUCAUCCACACUGAAACACAUGAAAAUGCUUAAAUCAUGUUACUGCUCAUGCGGAAAUUCCCUGUUGCAUGUACGGUCUGAAAAGCAAUUGUCCACGUGUAUCAAGUACAACAGUGCCGCUAUAACGCAGGCCGCCGUCUUGAUUGUUUUGGUUGGCUAGAUCACGUGACUGCAUCACAUGACAACAAAUAAAUCAUAAUUUUCAGAUAUAUCCGUUUUCAUAUGUAUCCACUUUGGAGUGCGUUUACAAAAAGCUCAGUUUUCACGGACAAAAAUGGCGUCUCUGUGUGGACGGAAGGUCAAAACAGAGAGAAAAAGAUGAGUUUUCAAAUGAAAACAUGUUAGUUUGGACAAGGCAUUAGUUUUGAGCUAUAAUGAAGUAACCUUUUGUAUGUAACAUAAGCGACUUGCUUCAUCAAACAACUGUUUCUGUGUAAUAUUAAAAAGAUAAAAAAAAGAGAGUUUUUUUUUUACUGCUAACACCAUUUUAUUAUAUAUUUACAUUUAGAAUAGAAGUACUGCAUUUAUAUAUGUAGGUGAAUAAAGUUGAAACUAAAUGUAACCAAUUGGAUAAACAUGUAGCAAACAUUAGUGUACAACAGAGAUUGGGGUAUGUAUGAAUAGUUUUAUAGACAAAAUGACUGACUCUAGAGAAAGAGAUCCAGGAGAAGUAAAAGUCGUCUAGAUAAGAAACUGCAAAAGCUGGUAUUAAAGGCUCUGUCAAAGCUCCAAGUGACACCACCCACGGUAUCCUUUAACUUAGAAAGAAUGCCGAGACUGACUAUAUACAGACUGAUGAUUUGAUAGAGCAUUGGAUUCGGCAUUGAUUUUUACUGUUUCCCCAAUGCUACAGUUGAGAUAGUUUUUCAUAACCUUUCUAACCAUUUACGAUACCUUUUUAAUUUUAAGCAUUGUAACCAAUAAA